rnacentral:rRNA from 1 species
AACGAACGCUGGCGGCAUGCCUAACACAUGCAAGUCGAACGAGACCUUCGGGCUUAGUGGCGCACGGGUGCGUAACGGGUGGGAACCUGCCCAUAGGUCUGGCAUAACUCCCCGAAUGGGGUGCUAAUACCGGAGCUUAUCUUCCGUCCAAAGAGUUAUCGCCAUUGGAGGGGCUCGCGUGGGCUUAGCUUGUUGGUAGGGUAAAAGCGUACCAAGGCGACGAUGGAUAGCUGGUUAGAGAGGAUGGUCAGCCACACUGGGACUGAGACACGGCCCAGAAUCCUACGGGAGGCAGCAGAGGGGGAUAUUGGACAAUGGGCGGAGUCAUGAAGCAGCAAGGCCGGGUGAGCGAUGAAGGCCUUGGGGUAGGAAAGCACGUUUACACGGGAUGGUAUUGACGGUACCGGGAGAAUAAGCACCGGCUAACUCCGUG